rnacentral:pre_miRNA from 1 species
AGCCCUCUGUAUCCGUGCUGAGAUUUCGUCACACGGCAGACAAUAAGGGUUGAUGAAACUUCCAAGAUAAGUGAAGCG